CAUGGGUUCUCGUACGAUCACAAAAGUUAAGCAAAUUGGAGCCUGGCCAGUAUCUAGAUGGGUGACCGCUCGGAAAUACCAGGUGCUGUAAG